UACGGAGGUGGCGAGCGUUACUCGGAAUUAUUGGGUGUAAAGGGCAAGUAGGCGGCUUAGUAAGUGAGGGGUGAAAUCUUCCGACUUAAUCGGGAAAUUGCCUUUCAAACUGCUAGGCUUGAGAGUAGAAGGGGGAAAUGGAAUUAGCGGUGUAAGGGUGAAAUCUGUAGAUAUCGCUAAGAACACCGGUGGCGAAGGCGAUUUCCUGGUCUACUUCUGACGCUGAAUUGCGAAAGCUAGGGGAG
rnacentral:rRNA from 1 species